rnacentral:tRNA from 1 species
AGUCUUAUAUUCAAAAAAUGAUAUAAAAUUGCAAAUUUUAAGUUAUAAUUUUUAUUAUUAAGGCUU